UACGAAGGGGGCUAGCGUUGCUCGGAAUUACUGGGCGUAAAGCGCACGUAGGCGGAUAUUUAAGUCAGGGGUGAAAUCCCAGAGCUCAACUCUGGAACUGCCUUUGAUACUGGCGAUCUCGAGUCCGGGAGAGGUGAGUGGAACUGCGAGUGUAGAGGUGAAAUUCGUAGAUAUUCGCAAGAACACCAGUGGCGAAGGCGGCUCACUGGCCCGGUACUGACGCUGAGGUGCGAAAGCGUGGGGAGCAAACAGG
rnacentral:rRNA from 1 species